UUCCGACCAUGGAUGUAGCGCAAAAGUGCGAAAGAACAUUAUGUGCGGAAAGCUUUUGGUGCGGUGUCAGGAAGAGGGAGAGCCAUUACGUCAAGUGAGAGGAAGCAGCUGGCUUUCGCCUUCGUGUUCUUUUAAGUGAAUGCAAAAGUAACCCUGUUACCCUGACGGACGACGUGUACGUCACCGAAGGCGGGCGAUCGGCGUUUCGGCUGGCGGCCACGUUUUCUGCCGAUGUGGCCUUGGACGACGCCGAGGCCGCUGGUGCCUUCGUGAGCACGUUGCUUCUGCGGCAUCUUGCUGUACCCUCAUCCGCCAAGCUGUCUUCCGUGCUGCAGUUGUCGAAGUACCGCUGUUUCGAGUUCGUUCAGGACGUGGCUCCGCACGCUAUGUCGUUGUUUCUUGCUGAAGGAAGCGUUCCAACGUCAGACAUAGACACAGCACAAUCUGUAAUAGCUAACAUACGCUUGGUUCUGGAGGCGGGCCUUGCUGUACUUCCAGAAGCCGAGAGAAAGAAGGCCUCGGCAAAGCUUCGUGAGAUUGAAGAUGUCAUUCGUAAGUGUUCUCGAGCACAAUUUCGCAUUGUUAUUGAAAAUUUUUUACAUCAAAUAAAACAAAACCUAUCUUUAUGUUA